rnacentral:rRNA from 1 species
UACGUAGGGUGCGAGCGUUGUCCGGAAUUACUGGGCGUAAAGCGCUUGUAGGCGGUCUGUUGCGUUGUUCGUGAAAUCUCACGGCUUAACUGUGAGCGUGCGGGCGAUACGGGCAGACUAGAGUACUGCAGGGGAGAGUGGAAUUCCCGGUGUAGCGGUGAAAUGCGCAGAUAUCGGGAAGAACACCCGUGGCGAAGGCGGCUCUCUGGGACGGUACUGACGCUGAGACGCGAAAGCGUGGGGAGCGAACAGG